AUGACAAUCACGGGAGAGACUAAACCGUUGGGUUUGGCACCGAAGGAGCAAGUCCCAAAAAAUUCCUUGGGAUAUAAUCUCUCAGGUAAAAGUACCGUGCUUGGACG
rnacentral:ncRNA from 2 species